GUCAAACUUUGGAUUUAGCCACAUGUCAAAGCGAUGUGUAUGAGGUUGCAGGAGGAGAGAUACUCAGCAUUUAAAGAAUUUGAUGUGAAUUUUCUUCACCCACUGAUGGACCAGGAGAAGCAGAACCAUUGGACAGAAGAGAGAAAAUAAGUACCGCUGGUAGAGAGAAGAGGGGCUGUUUUGUCUGUAGUCACCUGGUCCAAUGUCUCCACUGCAGCCUCUCUGCUGCGUGUGUGUGGAAGAGAUGAGCCCCGCCCUCGGUCAAACACAAAGAGCAGAGGAGGGGACAGAGAAGCUAGCACAACCAUAAAUGACAGUAAAACGCAGUAGAGAAUUCUCAUCGUCUUUUUUCUGUUCAUUCAGCUCAGGCGCUGUGAAAAAGGUGCUUGGGCGCUGCGCCUUAGUGUUAUAAUGGCAGGACAAACCCUGGAGACUAAGAUACAUUCAUUGUUCAUUGUACAUUCACUGUUUGCCUGAAUGUAUGUUCUACAACAAAGCAUUGUCCCUUAUUGUCAUUUUAAAAUAAAUGUCCUGUAUAUUGUUUUGUAUAUUGUAACUGUCUGCUGUCUCAGAAAUUAAACUCUAAAUUGCAAAAAGCACUACAUACCACAAAGGGAAAUGUGUUGAAAAGCUUUGAUAAUAAUGAUGUGCAAUGCUUCAUUUGUCAUUUUAAAAAAAGGUAAUGAGGGUAUGCCAGAUGUAAAUUAAAUUUUGAUUAUCAUAGCUCUGGAGAAAUAAAAUACCUCAUUUUACAAAUUGAUGCAGGUGGAAGGUAAUGCAAAAUAAACAAUAUUUUGGCA